AAGCGUGCGCAGGCGGUAAUGUAAGACAGAUCGUGAAAUCCCCGGGCUCAACCUGGGAACUGCAUUUGUGACUGCAUUGCUGGAGUGCGGCAGAGGGGGAUGGAAUUCCGCGUGUAGCAGUGAAAUGCGUAGAUAUGCGGAGGAACACCGAUGGCGAAGGCAAUCCCCUGGGCCUGCACUGACGCUCAUGCACGAAAGCGUGGGGAGCAAACAGGAUUAGAUACCCCGGU
rnacentral:rRNA from 1 species